rnacentral:rRNA from 1 species
UAACACGUGACCAACCUGCCCAGAAGCAGGGGAUAAGCCACCGAAAGGUGGUCUAAUACCGUAUGUGAUACCAAGAGGCAUCUCUUGGAUAUUAAAGGGGGGGACCUUCGGGCCUCUCACUUCUGGAUGGGCUCGCGGCCUAUCAGCUUGUUGGUGAGGUAACGGCUCACCAAGGCAACGACGGGUAGCUGGUCUGAGAGGACGACCAGUCACACUGGAACUGAGACACGGUCCAGACACCUACGGGUGGCAGCAGUCGAGAAUCAUUCACAAUGGGCGAAAGCCUGAUGGUGCGACGCCGCGUGGAGGAUGACAGCCCUAGGGUUGUAAACUCCUGUCAUGAGAGAGUAAAGACUUAACGUUAAUACCGUUGGGUCCUGAUAGU